GACGAACGCUGGCGGCGUGCCUAAUACAUGCAAGUCGAACGAGAGCGACCGGUGCUUGCACUGGUCAAUCUAGUGGCGAACGGGUGAGUAACACGUGGGUAACCUGCCCAUCAGAGGGGGAUAACAUCCGGAAACGGAUGCUAAAACCGCAUAGGUCUUCGAACCGCAUGGUUUGAAGAGGAAAAGAGGCGCAAGCUUCUGCUGAUGGAUGGACCCGCGGUGCAUUAGCUAGUUGGUGAGGUAACGGCUCACCAAGGCCGUGAUGCAUAGCCGACCUGAGAGGGUGAUCGGCCACAUUGGGACUGAGACACGGCCCAAGCUCCUACGGGAGGCAGCAGUAGGGAAUCUUCCGCAAUGGACGCAAGUCUGACGGAGCAACGCCGCGUGAGUGAAGAAGGUUUUCGGAUCGUAAAACUCUGUUGUUAGAGAAGAACAAGUGCUAGAGUAACUGUUAGCGCCUUGACGGUAUCUAACCAGAAAGCCACGGCUAACUACGUG
rnacentral:rRNA from 1 species